rnacentral:rRNA from 1 species
UACGUAGGGUGCAAGCGUUGUUCGGAAUUACUGGGCGUAAAGGGCUCGUAGGCGGCCAACUAAGUCAUACGUGAAAUCCCUCAGCUUAACUGGGGAACUGCGUGUGAUACUGGAUGGCUUGGAUUUGGGAGAGGGAAGCGGAAUUCCCGGUGUAGUGGUGAAAUGCGUAGAUAUCGGGAGGAACACCAGUGGCGAAGGCGGCUUUCUGGCCUGUUUCUUGACGCUGAGGCGCGAAAGCCAGGGGAGCAAACGGGG